rnacentral:tRNA from 1 species
AGGCGAUUGGCUCAGGGGUAGAGCGCUUCCUUGACACGGAAGAGGUCACUGGUUCAAAUCCAGUAUCGCCUA